rnacentral:rRNA from 1 species
AUACGAAGGGGGGCUAGCGUUGCUCGGAAUCACUGGGCGUAAAGGGCGCGUAGGCGGCGUUUUAAGUCGGGGGUGAAAGCCUCGUGGCUCAACCACAGAAUGGCCUCGAUACUGGGACGCUUGAGUAUGGUAGAGGUUGGUGGAACUGCGAGUGUAGAGGUGAAUUCGUAGAUAUUCGCAAGAACACCGGUGGCGAAGGCGGCCAACUGGACCAUUACUGACGCUGAGGCGCGAAAGCGUGGGGAGCAAACAGG